UUAUGGCCAUAUCACGUUGACACAGCGGUUCCCGUACGAUCACCGAAGUUAAGGAGCGUACGUGUAGCUUGUUCAGUACCUAGAUGGGUGAUCGCUUGGGAAUCUUGGAUUU